UGGCUCAGAUUGAACGCUAGCGGGAUGCCUUACACAUGCAAGUCGAACGGCAGCACGGACUUCGGUCUGGUGGCGAGUGGCGAACGGGUGAGUAAUGUAUCGGAACGUGCCUAGUAGCGGGGGAUAACUACGCGAAAGCGUAGCUAAUACCGCAUACGCCCUACGGGGGAAAGCAGGGGAUCGCAAGACCUUGCACUAUUAGAGCGGCCGAUAUCGGAUUAGCUAGUUGGUGGGGUAACGGCUCACCAAGGCGACGAUCCGUAGCUGGUUUGAGAGGACGACCAGCCACACUGGGACUGAGACACGGCCCAGACUCCUACGGGAGGCAGCAGUGGGGAAUUUUGGACAAUGGGGGAAACCCUGAUCCAGCCAUCCCGCGUGUGCGAUGAAGGCCUUCGGGUUGUAAAGCACUUUUGGCAGGAAAGAAACGUCAUGGGUUAAUACCCCGUGAAACUGACGGUACCUGCAGAAUAAGCACCGGCUAACUACGUGCCAGCAGCCGCGGUAAUACGUAGGGUGCAAGCGUUAAUCGGAAUUACUGGGCGUAAAGCGUGCGCAGGCGGUUCGGAAAGAAAGAUGUGAAAUCCCAGAGCUUAACUUUGGAACUGCAUUUUUAACUACCGAGCUAGAGUGUGUCAGAGGGAGGUGGAAUUCCGCGUGUAGCAGUGAAAUGCGUAGAUAUGCGGAGGAACACCGAUGGCGAAGGCAGCCUCCUGG
rnacentral:rRNA from 1 species